rnacentral:other from 1 species
AAAAAUACGCGUUUCGUGAUCUAGACUGUGGACAGCGAAUCAUCAUUUUUGUUUUACUAUAGCCAACGCAAAACGCUUGCGUUUAUUUUCUAUUUUAAAGGUAAACUUGAUGUCUAAAUUAAAAGGUAACGUUAAGUGGUUUAACGAAACUAAAGGUUUUGGUUUUAUCACUCCAGAAGAUGGCAGUAAAGAUGUGUUCGUCCACUUUUCCGCUAUUGUUUCAGAAGGUUUUAAAACACUUGCUGAAGGUCAAAAGGUAGAGUUUGAAGUUACUGACGGCGCGAAAGGGCCAUCUGCUGCAAACGUUGUCGCUAUCUAAUUAACGACUUCUCCAAAAGUAAAAAACGUUUUUGAAAUGACCCCCAAUAGUUGGACAACCAAUUAUUGGGGGU